GAGCGGCAAAGCUCAAAUUUGAAAUCUAGCACUUUCAGUGUUCGAGUUGUAAUUUGAAGAAGGUAACUUUGGAAUUGGCUCUUGUCUAUGUUCCUUGGAACAGGACGUCACAGAGGGUGAGAAUCCCGUGCGAUGAGAUGUCCAAUUCUAUGUAAAGUGCUUUCGAAGAGUCGAGUUGUUUGGGAAUGCAGCUCUAAGUGGGUGGUAAAUUCCAUCUAAAGCUAAAUAUUGGCGAGAGACCGAUAGCGAACAAGUACAGUGAUGGAAAGAUGAAAAGAACUUUGAAAAGAGAGUGAAAAAGUACGUGAAAUUGUUGAAAGGGAAGGGCUUGAGAUCAGACUUGGUAUUUUGUGUUCCUUAUCCUUCUUGGAUUAGGUUCCUCACAGCUUACCGGGCCAGCAUCGGUUUGGAUGGCAGGAUAAUGACAUUGGAAUGUAGCUUUGCUUCGGUGAAGUGUUAUAGACUUUGUUGAUACUGCCUAUCUAGACCGAGGACUGCGUCUUUGACUAGGAUGCUGGCGUAAUGAUCUUAAGCCGCC
rnacentral:rRNA from 1 species